rnacentral:rRNA from 1 species
CCGCGUGAGUGAUGAAGGCUUUCGGGUCGUAAAACUCUGUUGUUAGGGAAGAACAAGUGCUAGUUGAAUAAGCUGGCACCUUGACGGUACCUAACCAGAAAGCCACGGCUAACUACGUGCCAGCAGCCGCGGUAAUACGUAGGUGGCAAGCGUUAUCCGGAAUUAUUGGGCGUAAAGCGCGCGCAGGUGGUUUCUUAAGUCUGAUGUGAAAGCCCACGGCUCAACCGUGGAGGGUCAUUGGAAACUGGGAGACUUGAGUGCAGAAGAGGAAAGUGGAAUUCCAUGUGUAGCGGUGAAAUGCGUAGAGAUAUGGAGGAACACCAGUGGCGAAGGCGACUUUCUGGUCUGUAACUGACACUGAGGCGCGAAAGCGUGGGGAGCAAACAGGAUUAGAUACCCUGGUAGUCCACGCCGUAAACGAUGAGUGCUAAGUGUUAGAGGGUUUCCGCCCUUUAGUGCUGAAGUUAACGCAUUAAGCACUCCGCCUGGGGAGUACGGCCGCAAGGCUGAAACUCAAAGGAAUUGACGGGGA